GAUGAACGCUGGCGGCGUGCUUAACACAUGCAAGUCGAACGAAGCAUUUGUGACAGAUUUUUCGGAAUGAAGUUGCUUAUGACUGAGUGGCGGACGGGUGAGUAACGCGUGGGUAACCUGCCUUGUACUGGGGGAUAGCAGCUGGAAACGGCUGGUAAUACCGCAUAAGCGCACAAUGUUGCAUGACAUGGUGUGAAAAACUCCGGUGGUAUAAGAUGGACCCGCGUUGGAUUAGCUGGUUGGUGGGGUAAACGGCCCACCAAGGCGACGAUCCAUAGCCGGCCUGAGAGGGUGAACGGCCACAUUGGGACUGAGACACGGCCCAGACUCCUACGGGAGGCAGCAGUGGGGAAUAUUGGGCAAUGGGGGAAACCCUGACCCAGCAACGCCGCGUGAGCGAAGAAGUAUUUCGGUAUGUAAAGCUCUAUCAGCAGGGAAGAAAAUGACGGUACCUGACUAAGAAGCCCCGGCUAACUACGUG
rnacentral:rRNA from 1 species